rfam:Triticum urartu cultivar G1812 contig869193, whole genome shotgun sequence.
GUGGUACUCCCUCCGACCGAAAAUACUUGUCGGAGGAAUGGAUGCAUCUAGAUAUAUUUUAAUUUUAAAUACAUUCAUUUUUAUCUAUUUAUCCGAUAAGUAUUUCCGGACAGAGGAAGUAUUAA